rnacentral:lncRNA from 1 species
GGAUGCCAGAAUGAAUCUGUUGGGUCCGCUUCAGUAUAGCAUGUAGUCCUUCAAAUACCUCCAAUAAGUAGGCCUCUUCCUCCCUGGAUUCUUCAUCACUGGGAGGCAUCCAUGUCUUGGGAACCACUGAGUUUAGGGCUGCAGAGACAAAAUGCCACAAACCAAGUAAUUUAACACAACAGACACAUUCUCUUACCAUGCCCAGAACCAUAGAAAAUACACACUCUCUCUCUCACACACACACACUCCAUACACAUACACACUCAUAAGCACACCACACUCCCACAGACACACAGUCACAUGCACACCACGCUCAAACACACACACACAUACAUUCACAUGCACAUCCCACACACAUACUCUACACACUCCAAACACACCACACACUCUCUCUACACACACACACUACACAAUCACAUAUACACCACACACUCACAUGCACACUCACACACACACACA